rnacentral:rRNA from 1 species
AUUGAACGCUGGCGGCAUGCCUUACACAUGCAAGUCGAACGGCAGCAUGAUCUAGCUUGCUAGAUUGAUGGCGAGUGGCGAACGGGUGAGUAAUACAUCGGAACGUGCCCUGUAGUGGGGGAUAACUAGUCGAAAGAUUAGCUAAUACCGCAUACGACCUGAGGGUGAAAGUGGGGGACCGCAAGGCCUCAUGCUAUAGGAGCGGCCGAUGUCUGAUUAGCUAGUUGGUGAGGUAAAGGGUCACCAAGGCGACGAGCAGUAGCUGGUCUGAGAGGACGAUAGCCACCCGGGGAAUGGGACCCGGCCCAGGGCUCCUGCGGGAGGAAGCAGGGGGGAAUUUGGAAAAGGGGGGGAAGGCUGAGCCCAAUAGGGCGGGGGGUGGAAAGAGGGCCUUGGGUUUGAAAGGACGUUUUUCCGGGAAAAAAAUGUUUUUGUUUAUUACCUGGGGUCGAUGACGGUAAGGGAUAAAAAAGGACCGGCUAACUACGUG